UACAUUUAAGUAGAGCCUCUAUUAAAAGUUUAUUAAAAGUCUUUUAAAAGUUUCCAUGCAGCUUGCAGGAAUUUUACUUUUGGUGCUGUACCUUUUAAUUUCUGUUUAACUAACCUCAUUUUUGUCUAGUUCCUCUUUCUGAAAGUAAAUGUUACAGUGUUGGGCCGCUGUGGUGUUUUCUCUGCCACAGGGAUGUUAAAUUUAAUUAUAUUAUGGUCACUAUUACCAAGCGAUUCAGCUAUAUCCACCUCUCGGACCUGAUCCUGUGCUCCACUUAGGACUAAAUCAAAAAUUGCCUCUCCUCUUGUGGGUUCCAGGACCAGCUGCUCCAAGAAGCAGUCAUUUAAGAUGUCAAGAAACUUUAUAUCUGCAUCCCUUCCUGAGAUGACAUGUACCCAGUCAAUACGGGGAUAGCUGAAAUCCCCCAUUAUUAGAGUUUUUUUAUUUUAAUAGCCUCUCUGAUCUUCCUGAUCAUUUCACAGUCACUAUCACCAUCGUUGUCAGGUGGUCUGGAAUAUAUCCCUACUACUAUAUUCUUGUUUUUUAAGCAUGGAAUUACUAUUCAUAGAUAUUCUAUGGUACAGUUUGGUUCAUUUAAGAUUUUUACUUCAUCUGAUUCUACGCUUUCUUUCACAUUUAGUGCCACUGCCACUCCCACACCAGCAUGACCUGUUCUGUCCUUCUGACAUAUUUUGUACCCUGGUAUUACUGUGUCCCAUUGAUUAUCCUUAUUCUACCAAGUUUCUGUGAUGCCUAUUAUAUCAAUAUCCUCAUUUAAUACGAGGCACUCUAGUUCACCCAUCUUAUUAUUUAGACUUCUAGCAUUGUUAUAUAAGCACUUUAAAAGCUUGUCACUUUUUAGCUGUCUGCCAUUACAUGAUGUAAUUGAAUGGAACUUUUUUUUCUUUUGACUGUUUCUCAUCAGAUCCUACCUGUAUUUUAUCAUCUUCCAUCCUUCACCUCCUUAUACAGGGAAUCUCCAUUUAUAGAUCCUCCCCAAGGGAUGUCCGAACAUGUGCUCUUCUACACCUGUCGGCUUUCUCCCAGCCCUUAGUUUAAAAACUGCUCUACGACCUUUUUAAUUUUAAACGCCAGGAAUCUAGUUGCAAUCGGGUUUAGGUGGAGCGCAUCCUUCCUGUAUAGGCUCCCCCUUUCCCAAAAGUUUCCCCAGUUCCUAAUAAAUCUAAACCCCUCCUCCCUGCACCAUCAUCUCAUCCAUGCAUUGAGACCCUGCAGUUCUGCUUGUCUAACUGGCAUGAGCAUGGAACUGGAAACAUUUCAGAGAACGCUACCAGGGAGGUCCUGGACUUCAAUCUCUUACCUAGCACCCUAAAUUUGGCCUCCUGGACCUCUCUCCUAUCCUUCCCUAUGUCAUUGGUACCUACGUGUACCACAACCACUGGCUCCUCCCUAGCACUACACAUAAGCCUAUCUAGAUGUCUCGAGAGAUCCGCAACUGUCACACCAGGCAGGCAAGUUACCAUGCGGUUCUCCCGGUCAUUGCAUACCCAGCUAUCUAUGUUUCUAAGGAUCGAAUCGCCCAUUACCAAUACCUGUCUCUUCCUAAUAACUGGAGUUCCCUCCCCCGGAGAGGUAGCCUCAGUGCGAGAGGAUACCACAUCAUCAUCUGGAAAUGGGAUCAUUUCCCUUUGCUCCAGUUGGAUGUUCUCCUUCCCUGAGACUUUCAUCCUCCUCAACAGCACAGAGGCCGUCAGAUGGGGGGUGGGACCAUUCUACUGUGUCCUGGAAAGUCUCAUCUACUUACCUCAAGCUCCUCCAGCUCAGCCACCCUGGUCUCCAAAGCCCAUACACAGUCUCUGAGGGCCUGGAGCUCCUUGCACCGAAUGCGCACAUACGCCACACAUACACACACAUUAUGCCAUGUAAUACACACCUACGCCACCUGCCCAUAGGGCAGGUAAUCAUACAUGCUGUAUUGGGUGCAAUAAACUGGGUCGCCCCCACUCUGUUUCUAUUUCUUGAAGUCUCAUACAGAAUCAAUCACCUGUUUACCUUGCUACUUAUAUAUAACUUUCAGUAACCUAACAACCACUCCACCCACACAACACUACUUUAUCAUUAUAUUUUUUUAAAAAGUUUCCCAUCCAAGGCUCCCUGACGCAUCAUUAACACAAUAAAAUCCUAGCAGCAUUAAUCAUUUCAACAGGAACUCAGGCAGGCAGACACCUACAGAAACUUCUUUGUCCAUCACACUGUGGGGAAACAAACCCUCAGCCUUCUGCAAAAACUCCAAACAGGUGUCUCAUGGAGCAUGAUCAAAAUGUCACUGAAUUUGAGCUAUUUCACACCAAGCGGGAUGUGGGAACAAGUUCCAGUCCUGGAGCCCUUAGUGAGGGGGAUCGAGGUCAAAUACCUCUGCUGACCACAGCUGUGGCAGGUUGGCAUGUGGAGGACAGGCCAGUCCCAGGACAUUUAAAACUUUAGAGGUCACAACAAACACCUUAAGCUCCACCCGGAGUCGAAUGGAUAGCCAGGGCAGAUUUUGGAGCACUGGCAUCACGGGUAUGUGUGAGAUGCCGCCCCAUUCAAUAAGCAGCCCACAGCUUUCUGCACCAGCUUUUUAAGGUGUAGUCCCAGCCAGCGUGCCUCGCAACAGUGUAAUCAAAAGCACAGAUGAGAGUGGCAUGGUCUGCAUUCAAAAGGAAAGAUUGCAACCUCCAGCCCAGACACAGAUGGUAAUAAUCUGACUAGGGGCUUGUCUACACUGUCACUUUAGACUGUUGCACCUUUCUCACUCAGGGGUGUGAGAGAAAACACCCUCGAGCGCUGCGAGUUUCAGCGCUGUAACGUGCCGGUAUAGACAGUGCACGAGCGCUGGGAGCUGCGCCCCUCAUGAAGGUGGUUUUUUUAGAGCGCUGGGAGAGCUCUCUCCCAGUGCUCUGCCAUGACUAUACAAGCCAUGUUAAAGCACUGCCGUGGCAGCGCUUUACGUUGCCAGUGUAGACAAGCCCCAAAUUAAUGCUGCAAUAUGAUCAUCAGACAGCAACCGGAGAGCAAAAAUCACCCCGACACUAGAAUUCCUAGAAAUUAAUGAUGCACACGCUCCCGCAGUCAAAGGGCUUAAUGUGGUUUUAGUUCUCACCACAAGUAAUCUGGGGUGAGUAUACACCAGAACCAAACUGUGACACUUCUUGAUUCAGGUAGCCUGCAAAAGUGUAACUUAAUACCCACCUCUACCUGAGGAGCUGCAUUUCUGACCCUGCAAGACACACCUACAGAGCCCACCCCCAGCCUAGAAAACACAGCCGAAUCCUUGGGACUUAGAACCAUCUCGACUAGCUGAAGAGGAAGAACAACAAACAAUGAGAGACAUCAAGGACACAAGAGUGUUUCAGUGCAUAUCUAAUUGCUGGAAAUCGCUCCCAGAGGUCACUUGGGAGUGCGGGUAUUGGGGCUAAUACAGCAAAUCCGAUGAGAAGAGCACUGAAGGCCCUUUUAAGCAAAGAAACUCCAAGAAGCCCAGGACUUCUGGUUUCAUUUUUAAAGGCCAGAGGCUACAUCUUAGAAAAGCAGCUAAGUCUGAAUGGGAUGAAAAUAGUUGGCCUCAUUCAGCUUUUCAAAAACGGUGACUAAACCAAGGAAAAGGUCAGAAAUGCUGUCACACAGCCAAAUCUUGCUGAUAACAUGUACUGAUGGAUUCCAUCAACUAGCCUUGAUGGAGAGAGCUGAUAUCAGGAGACAAUCACCGCCCUGAAGCAUUAUGAGAUUGAAGACACAGCAGCAUUUAACCAGAGGAACACACGCAGCCCUGGGGAAAGCAAUUAAUAUGCUAGUUUGCUCAGAAGAAAUCUAAUAAAUGCCCUACCACCAAGUAA